rnacentral:pre_miRNA from 1 species
GACGCACUUUUGCCCCCAAUCCACUACCGUUUUCGGUAGUGGAUUGGGGGCAAAAGUGCGGA